AUGACCUGUGGGCUCAGCCUCCUGCGCUACUGGCUGGGUCAGUUUUUCUUGGGUCGCGGGCGGCCUCCCUGCCGCGUGCGUGCCUCGCGUAGCGCGCCCCUCCUGGCUCGGCAGCCGGCUGGAACGACAUAUCUACACCCGCUGCUACCCCUUCCAUGCAAUGACGAGUGGGUCAAAAUGGUCGUUGGUCCCACGUGUAAGGGACUCUCGUUGUUCUCCUCAGCGUUAUGCUGGGGUUGGAGAGAAUUGUGGCUGAUUCCUGCGCGCGUUGUGCCGGGUCCACCCACUCACGGGCCUUUUCUCCGGGUCGUCCGGUGCGCUCGCCUUAUUCCCGGGUCGUCUGGCGCCUUUAGUUUAGCUUUACACAAAGUCACUGAUGCCGGGGCCGUGUGGAGGGGCGGGGCCGGUGGUCAGUUGCUCUGUGUUCCCUCGCUGCUAGGUUCGCGUGGCCGAUGCACGGCUGGCAACUGGACGUGUGAGCACCGCGCGUUGGGUCCUUCGUGCGACGCGUGCUCGUCUCAGUGCACGCCGCGCCCUGCUCUGGUGGCAAACCCUUCCCCAAUCACCACAGCCGCCACACGCCUCCCUCCUUCCUCCUCGCCCGCACCCCUGUCGCGGCGCCCAUCCCUUCCAUCUUCGUGUUUCUCCUCCUCCCAGGACUACCUCCCGUCGCUUAGGCUCCAUGGCGGCGCCCGGCUCGAGGCGAGCCUGGUGCAGGUGGGUGGAAGCAGCGGAUGCGGGUGGGAGAGUGCCAGACGGCGCCAUCAUUGUUCAUUGUCACCCCACUAA
rnacentral:rRNA from 1 species